rnacentral:rRNA from 1 species
CAAUAGCGUAUAUUAAAGUUGUUGCGGUUAAAAAGCUCGUAGUUGGAUUUCUGCUGAGAACGACCGGUCCGCCCUUUGGGUGUGUAUCUGGCUCUUUCUUGGCAUCUUCUUGGUGAACGUUACUGCACUUGACUGUGUGGAGCGCUACCCAGGACUUUUACUUUGAGGAAAUUAGAGUGUUUCAAGCAGGCAUACGCCUUGAAUACGUUAGCAUGGAAUAAUAAGAUAGGACCUCGGUUCUAUUUUGUUGGUUUCUAGAGCUGAGGUAAUGAUUAAUAGGGAUAGUUGGGGGCAUUCGUAUUUAACUGUCAGGGGUGAAAUUCUUGGAUUUGUUAAAGACGGACUACUGCGAAAGCAUUUGCCAAGGAUGUUUUCAUUGA